rnacentral:rRNA from 1 species
UACGAAGGGGGCUAGCGUUGCUCGGAAUCACUGGGCGUAAAGGGUGCGUAGGCGGCGCGGUAAGUCGGGUGUGAAAUCUCGGAGCUUAACUCCGAAACUGCAUUCGAUACUGCCGUGCUUGAGGACUGGAGAGGAGACUGGAAUUUACGGUGUAGCGGUGAAAUGCGUAGAUAUCGUAAGGAAGACCAGUGGCGAAGGCGGGGUCUC